AAAAUAAAGGGAAGAUGGUAAAAAAAAGUACAGAUAGAAGUGUAGGUUUCAUAAGUUUAAGGAAGUAGGAUCCAAGACCCAAAUCAUUAGGCAUACAAACGUAAUCCAUCUCUUACCUGAAUCAGAUACUCACUGGACUUGAACCAGCUGACUGUGAGUUUGGCUGUGAAGGAAAAGAACAAAUUUAAGGAAUAGAAGCAAAGAGGCUGUAUCUCUGAGAUAACUCGCUGGGGAUUACCUAAUAUAUUUAUUUUUCCUCUCCAGGAUGGAACUGCCCCUAACCACACCUAUGUAUUGUAGGUCUAUUGCAGGUUUCUCUCACGUGAAUAUUUUUCAGGCUGUCUCAGACGAGCUGGAACUGAGUGUGGUCAGGACCCUUCACUUCCUCUAAAGGGCCAGCCUCUGCGAUUUACAGAAGUGGAUUCAAGCAACGCAGCCACAGUGAAGCCGUGAUGAGGAAGUGCAGAGCCCCUGUGUGGGAGACGGAGGGGCUGGACGGGGGGAGCAGGUGCCAGUGGAUCAGAGGACCCUCAUAGGAAGCUUCCAGGUCUGUCUCCUGUGCCCUCAAGCCACAGUAGCUGAGACCAGAAUGAUCUCUGGGGGGAGGUAAGAAGCUUCUAGAUCUGCUGUUGAGGAGAGCUUUAUGGGCUUGUGGGGCCAACCAGGAGCUUGCAUCCUAAACGGUGUGAGGGGA
rnacentral:lncRNA from 12 species